GAUGAACGCUGGCGGCGUGCCUAAUACAUGCAAGUAGAACGCUGAAGCUUGGUGCUUGCACCGAGCGGAUGAGUUGCGAACGGGUGAGUAACGCGUAGGUAACCUGCCUGGUAGCGGGGGAUAACUAUUGGAAGCGAUAGCUAAUACCGCAUAACAGUCGACAUUGCAUGAUGUUGAUUUGAAAGGGGCAAUUGCUCCACUACCAGAUGGACCUGCGUUGUAUUAGCUAGUUGGUGAGGUAACGGCUCACCAAGGCGACGAUACAUAGCCGACCUGAGAGGGUGAUCGGCCACACUGGGACUGAGACACGGCCCAGACUCCUACGGGAGGCAGCAGUAGGGAAUCUUCGGCAAUGGGGGCAACCCUGACCGAGCAACGCCGCGUGAGUGAAGAAGGUUUUCGGAUCGUAAAGCUCUGUUGUAAGAGAAGAACGAGU
rnacentral:rRNA from 1 species